GAUGAACGCUGGCGGCGUGCCUAAUACAUGCAAGUCGAGCGAACGGACGAGAAGCUUGCUUCUCUGAUGGUAGCGGCGGACGGGUGAGUAACACGUGGAUAACCUACCUAUAAGACUGGGAUAACUUCGGGAAACCGUAGCUAAUACCGGAUAAUAUUUUGAACCGCAUGGUUCAAAAGUGAAAGACGGUCUUGCUUUCACUUAUAGAUGGAUCCGCGCUGCAUUAGCUAGUUGGUAAGGUAACGGCUUACCUAGGCAACGAUGCAUAGCCGACCUGAGAGGGUGAUCGGACACACUGGAACUGAGACACGGCCCAGACUCCUACGGGAGGCAGCAGUAGGGAAUCUUACGCAAUGGGCGAAAGCCUGACGGAGCAAAGCCGCGUGAGUGAUGAAGGUCUUCGGAUCGUAAAACUCUGUUAUUAGGGAAGGACAAAUGUGUAAGUAACUGUGCACAUCUUGACGGUACCUAAUCAGAAAGCCACGGCUAACUACGUG
rnacentral:rRNA from 1 species